CGAGCGUUUGUUACCGGGGCAUUGCGAAGAGGCCGGGCGAGGGUGCGUCUUCGCCGUCCUGGACAUCGCGCCGAAGAAUUGUCGCUGUUGAGAAUCUACCGUCGACUGUUAGUAUUUCGGCUCGUUCUCCGCGUAGGAGCGUCGGAUCGCGACGAAACUUGGUUCAUUGGAUUCUAGACUGCGAGAGGAUUCUACGGAGCCCUCACUUGCAAUUUUUGGUCAAGCUUGGCGUUGGCUUGGCGACCGGACUUGGAGAUCCCCGAUUGAUCCAGCAGAGUUCCUUUUAGGCCGAGGCUUCGUUUGCUGCCAGGAGAUAGCACUUUAGAGCCACAGGUUUCGGCUGCUGCACCGUCUGCGGACCUGGAUCGAGGCAAGGGCGUCGCG